AUUGAACGCUGGCGGCAUGCCUUACACAUGCAAGUCGAACGGCAGCACGGGAGUGAUCCUGGUGGCGAGUGGCGAACGGGUGAGUAAUAUAUCGGAACGUGCCCAGUCGUGGGGGAUAACGUAGCGAAAGCUACGCUAAUACCGCAUACGAUCUAUGGAUGAAAGCGGGGGAUCGCAAGACCUCGCGCGAUUGAAGCGGCCGACAACAGAUUAGGUAGUUGGUGGGGUAAUGGCUUACCAAGCCGACGAUCUGUAGCGGGUCUGAGAGGACGACCAGCCACACUGGGACGGAGACACGGCCCAGACUCCUACGGGAGGCAGCAGUGGGGAAUUUUGGACAAUGGGCGCAAGCCUGAUCCAGCAAUGCCGCGUGCAGGAUGAAGGCCUUCGGGUUGUAAACUGCUUUUGUACGGAGCGAAAAGGCUUCCACUAAUACUGGGGGCUCAUGACGGUACCGUAAGAAUAAGCACCGGCUAACUACGUGCCAGCAGCCGCCGCCGUAA
rnacentral:rRNA from 1 species